UUCACUACAAAUUUCUUGGGAUGGCGGUAUUAAAAAAAUACCUUUAUUCAAUUUAUUAUAAAACAAUCUGAAUGAUGCCUAUAGUAGAAGUGACAUAAAAUGUAAAAGAAUCAAAAAAGUUGAUCGAUACUCCAAGCACCAAAGAAAUAGCAAACAAGGAUGUAAAUGAAAAACCUUAAGACUCCCUUUAAACUAUUUAAACUUGAAAGCUGCUCAUUAUGUUUCGAACAUAUACAGGUUGGGAAACCGAUUACAUGUGUUUUUGGAUGCAAAAUUGUACUGGUGUGUGCCUACUUUUGUGCUUAAUUGUGCAAAAUUGAUAUGUAAAUAUGGUGUGCACGUAUGUCAAGAAAACCACGAGAGGAGAUAUUCCAACCGAACAAUUUGAGAGGGCGGCACAAUUGGUCUUACAGGAAAAAGUGUCAAUUAGGGACGCCGCUGCUCGAUAUGCAGUAAAUUUUAUGACUUUACAUCGUUUUAUUAAAGGAGAGUCUGCGGUAACUACCAUUAAUACCGACACUAAUAAACGCUUAGUCGGUUACGCUAAACACAGAAAAAUAUUCAACGAUGCAGAGGAAAAAACAACUUGCGGAAUUCACCGAGCAUUCUGCUAAAAUUUAUUAUGGGCUCACUACAUCUGAUUUACGGAAGCUUGCUUUCCAGUUUGCAACGGCAAAUAAUAUAUCUAUUCCCGAUAACUGGAAGGAAAAGAAUAUAGCGUCAGGACUGGACUAAGUCUCAAGGACUGGCUAUUUGGGUUUUUAAAAAGGCUGGCUUUUUUAAAGACUGACAAGGUCUGGGGCCGUAUUUUCGAAACCAUGCGAGAAUCCUCGAAUGCGAACAAAGUCGAGCGGCAAAAUUCGCACACGAAUUAAAAAGUGCAUUUUUGAACAGCAUUCGAAAUUUCAUUCGCAUGCGAACAUGAAAUGUAGUGGCAACGUAGCAAAGUCGAGUGCUAUUGGAGGCCGUGUCAACCGGGAUGAAGACGAUAACGAUUUUUGAACCUAACCUAAAAUUUAAGUU